rnacentral:rRNA from 1 species
GAUGAACGCUAGCGGCAGGCUUAACACAUGCAAGUCGAGGGGUAUAGUAGCAAUACUAGAGACCGGCGCACGGGUGCGUAACGCGUAUGCAAUCUACCUUUUACAGAGGGAUAGCCCAGAGAAAUUUGGAUUAAUACCUCAUAGCAUUGCGAAAUGGCAUCAUUUUGUAAUUAAAGUCACAACGGUAAAAGAUGAGCAUGCGUCCCAUUAGCUAGUUGGUAAGGUAACGGCUUACCAAGGCAACGAUGGGUAGGGGUCCUGAGAGGGAGAUCCCCCACACUGGUACUGAGACACGGACCAGACUCCUACGGGAGGCAGCAGUGAGGAAUAUUGGACAAUGGGCGCAAGCCUGAUCCAGCCAUGCCGCGUGCAGGAUGACGGUCCUAUGGAUUGUAAACUGCUUUUGUACGAGAAGAAACACUCCGACGUGUCGGAGCUUGACGGUAUCGUAAGAAUAAGGAUCGGCUAACUCCGUGCCAGCAGCCG